AUGGCUCCGCUUUUGCCCACACAACCUUCCUCCACUGAGCGAUCUUUUGGUCUUUCUGUUUUGAUCGAGGCCUUCUCCACACUCCCGCAAGGCUAUGACGUCACGUGGGACUAUCCACCAAUCCUGAGCCACGUUAUGACUCGGCUCUCACCGCCCAACUUCGAUCGAAGUUUCUCUUGGACUUGGACUCCCGAGAACGAGUUUCUUAUCUUGGCGGAAGCCAAUACGGAUAGAGAAAUGAGAAACUUCUAUACUUAUAUAAAUAACUCAACUUGCUGUAGUUUCAAUCACCUCGAAGGAAUUGAUUCCCAACCAAAAAUGCAGUUUGUGUACUAAAUUACCAGAAAAAUUAAGAUCUCCGUGAACGUGUGGCUAUGCAGGAAGAGAACGUAUAACAACAAUCGAUAAUCUUGUUUCAACAGUGUCAUCUAACCACUUACAAGUGCUCUCCCCUGCAAUUUUGAAAGGGAACCUUGUCUUUACACAGCGAACCUUGUCAACAUUGGUGUUUUAUCGGUUCCAUCCGGUUCCAACAGAUUAUUUCUACAUUAUUGGCGCUAUCACGUGGAUGCGCCAAACAACAACACAAGAUCCAAUCCAGAGGGUUAGAUUCCCGCCACACGGUCUGUUUACCGAAACAGUUCGACGCGCUUUUCCCCAAAACGUCACAAUUCCAUUUGGUUGCCCUCUGACGUUCCCAAGUUCAAUUGAAAGAAGUGAGCGAGUUAUAUGAUCUGAAGGACAGAUAUAAUACAGAGAACCCAAAGUCAUCAAAUGAAACCCGA